CUCAGCGGGUGCAGCAGCAUCUAUGGAGCGAAGGAAAUAGGCAACUUUCUCCAGCAUUUUUUUGUCCCCCUUCGGUUGUUCCAGCAUCUGCACCACCCCUACUGCACUGGCACAAGAAUCUGGG